UACGGAGGGUGCAAGCGUUAUCCGGAUUUACUGGGUUUAAAGGGUGUGUAGGCGGGCUUUUAAGUCAGUGGUGAAAUCUCCGAGCUCAACUUGGAAACUGCCAUUGAUACUAUUAGUCUUGAAUUCUGUUGAGGUGGGCGGAAUAAGUCAUGUAGCGGUGAAAUGCAUAGAUAUGACUUAGAACACCAAUUGCGAAGGCAGCUCACUAAACAGAUAUUGACGCUGAGGCACGGAAAGCG
rnacentral:rRNA from 1 species